GGCUCUGCCAUUUCAACACUUGGGUUCCUGGGUUACCACAGGAGAGAAAAUAGAACUUAGAAAACUCAUACUUGUUUUGCAAUGCCUUGGUCCAGAGUUGAUACCCUCUCUUCCAUCAUAGUCCAAUGGCCAGAACUUGUGGUCUGGUUCUGUAACUAUAAGAGGGUUGGAGAAGAAAAUCAGAACAGGGUGUUGCCCUUAUAUGAAUGAUCCUAAAUGGCUCCCCUACAUCCAUGAUCCAGAAGGGAAGAGAAAUGCUGAAACAAACAGAAUCCUCCAGAAAUCCAUUCCACUAAAAACACCGAAGUUUGAGAACUAAAAUUUGCUGUGGAACUCCACUGCUAUAGAAUAAACACAUUCAACUCAACAGGGAACACAAAGAGCCUACCUGCUAUUAGUCUUUGUAAAUGACCAGCCAAAAAGAAGUAGGACGGUUUUCCUAACAGGUUUAGAAAAGGAAAAAAUCUUAACUCAACUGAAUCCUCCUACGAAUGCCAAAGGCCUCUAGCUGGGAAAGCAAAGAUACCUGAAGCGAAGACCUGCACAAGAGAGGGGGGUGGGGAACAGAGAAAGUCACUUCUCAGCACCGAAGAGGAAAGUGCUGACCCAGCGCGGGGCACUGGGACUCAGAGCCCAACUCCAGAGCAGAUGGCCGCUGCACAUUCACAUUAAUCACGCAGCUUCCUGCAUGUCAGCUGAUGCAAGGGCUGAGGUCAGCUGUGGGAAAGGCAGACGCAGUGGAGGAGACCUGGCCAAGCUGCCCUCCUUGUUGGGCUUGUUUUCAGGAUGACCGGGAGUGUCCAGGAACAAGCCACAUCCUCAGGCAAUCUGCUCACUCUGCUGGUGUUUCUGUUUGUUUAUUGUGCAGCCUAAAGUUCUUCUUUGCAGGCAAAUGGAACCCAUAAAAGAGUAAGAACAGUCAAAUGAGACUUUGAAGGUCUACCCUCUAGGAGAAU